rnacentral:rRNA from 1 species
UGGGGAAUAUUGGACAAUGGGGGAAACCCUGAUCCAGCAAUGCCGCGUGAGUGAUGAAGGCCUUAGGGUUGUAAAGCUCUUUUACCCGGGAUGAUAAUGACAGUACCGGGAGAAUAAGCCCCGGCUAACUCCGUGCCAGCAGCCGCGGUAAUACGGAGGGGGCUAGCGUUGUUCGGAAUUACUGGGCGUAAAGCGCACGUAGGCGGCUUUGUAAGUUAGAGGUGAAAGCCCAGGGCUUAACCCUGGAAUUGCCUUUAAGACUGCAUCGCUAGAAUUGUGGAGAGGUGAGUGGAAUUCCGAGUGUAGAGGUGAAAUUCGUAGAUAUUCGGAAGAACACCAGUGGCGAAGGCGACUCACUGGACACAUAUUGACGCUGAGGUGCGAAAGCGUGGGGAGCAAACA